UGAGACCUAUCAGAGUGGUGCUCGUAAUGUGGACAAGAUGAACGGGAGUAGCUGGACAAGACCAGGGAAAAAUUGAGCACGUGGGACGCCGAGGCAGUAGCAAGAAGAAGGCAGCAGCAUGUCUCGGUUAUUCGGCAGACCCGAUAGCUCGCUGAAGAAGCAGCUACCUUUACUGUGUAUGGCAGCAGCAUCAGUAGCAUCAGUAUCAGCACCAACAGGAGGCAAGGAUGAGUCAGACUUCCUUCAGAAACAGUGUAUGAUAAAAUAAUAUUCUGCUGGAGUAAGUGCUCUAUUAUUGAGACCCUGCUGACUCCUUGGGAAUGUCAUUCUACCUGUGAUAAUUCCUGCCAGAACUUCCAUUAGUCUGACGAAUGAGCUGAGGAGGGGGAGAAUGUUAUACUUUAUGGCAGUUUCAUAAUCCAGUAAGCAGCAGCUGUUAUAGAGACCACUGAGGAUGCUGUGUUGCAGCAGUAGUAGCAGCACUUGAGGAUGAGUCUGUCUUCCAGUCUAUUCUGAAGCAGCUAGUCGGGUCUUGAAGAUGACGGCCUGCAAGUUAUCAUCAGAUGACAAAGACUGACUUGUAUGAACUUGAAACCUUCCUCACAAAAUGAUAGUGCAGUUCUGCAGCAUCAAAUUCAAGACAUCAGCACAAGACAGUUGUCCUUCAUUAGUAAAAAUAUUUCUGAACUCAGCCAUGGCCCAAUAUAGAAUAUUCACUAAAAAAUUACUCAUACCUGUACUGUUUUUUCAAGUAGUAUUUGACUGUGUACAUUGAAUGCACAAUAUCAUAUAUUUUCUGUUUUGAAGUUGAUGCUGAACUAUGGUUAAUUAAGGAAAGCAGUGCCUGUUGCUGUAUGAAGAGAGAAAAUUAAUGUGAAUCAUACCUGACUGAGGUAGUCUGGCCUUGAGGCAAGUCAUGUAAGGAAGCUACCUUGAGAGGUGCUGUGAGUUUUAUUUAUAUAUUUGUGUGUGUAUUUAUUUAUUUUGUCCAAGAGUAAAUGGAGGAUAUUUUCAGAUAGGUGGCACUUAUGAAAAGAAAGCAUGGUUAAUUUUGUGAUAGAAAUUUUUUUUCACAAUAUAUGAAUGGAAGAAC